GGUCUGAGAUGGAAAGCCUGGGAGUAACUGACCCCCAACUACAUGGUCUUAAACUCCUACGGAUUUAUUUUCUUAAUAAGAAGGCUGGAGAUGGCCUGUUGACAGCACUGCUUUGGUGUCUUGAAGAUAUCAGGAUAGCUGAAAUUCUCUUGUUUCCUUUUCUUCAUGAGCUCAAGAUAAGUGUGGCAGCUCCAGCCACACAUCUGUCUCAACGGGGGAGAAGAAGAUAGGGUGGAAUGCCAAAAGGCUACCCAUAAGUUGAGUCGACACUAACGUAAAACACUCCAGGUGCAGAGAAGGAAAGUGAUUAGCCCGAUUCUGUGGAGGAGAGACGUCACCAGCCUGGGAUUAUACAUCAGGAAGGUCUCCAGGGCCACAGCCUUCACCACCAUAUAUCUCCAGAAUUCUUAAAAUUACAAGGUGAAAACUGUCCCCAUUGGACACUAAUUAUUUCCACCCCUGGGAACCACAUUCUAUUUUCCAUACCUGUGAAUAUGCCUCUUCCUGGCCCCUCCUACGAGGGGAAUCAAACAGCAUUUUUCUUCUUGUGACUGGCUUAUUUCACUUCGCAUCCUGCCCUCAGGCUUCGCCCAUGUUGACGCAUGUCUCAGAAUUUCUUUUUUUUUAAUAUUUCGUCGUGUGCAUCCGUUCAUUCUUUUGUGGACACUUGGGUUGCUUCCACCCCUCGGCUCUGGUGAUGAGUGUAGCUGUGAGCCUGAGCCCACGAAUAUUUCCGAGACCCUGCUGUCAAUACCUGUCGGUACAGACCCAGAGGUGAAAUUGUGGGAUUCAUCAUGGAGUGCCAUCUAUUCUGUGCCAUUUGUGUGAUAAAUGUCACUCUCUCCUAGUAAACAGUGAAUCCCUGGAGGAGAGACCUGAUUUCUAUCCCUGGUACAGGAACCGGCCUGCCUCCUGCCCAUUUUAGCAACCACGUGGUUCAGGAAAGCACUUGGCACAUAGUACAUAUGCAUCAAAUAUUUUUGAAGGAGUAACUCAAAGAAUGAAAUUAGUAGUAGUUGAAUGGAAAACUAGUGAAAGAAUUUCAUAAGGUCUAAAGCAAGGUCCACAAACUACAAGUGCAUCUAGCCAGCUGCCUGUGUUUUAUGUGGCUCCUGAGAAGAAUAACCAUUACAGAUGCACAUUUGCAGUCUGAUAAUAGGGAGCACUCACUUUGAACCCCAAUUAAUAUAAAUGUUAUCUCACCCAGAAGAUUUCCAUUCUUCCUCAUUAGUAGGCCAGUAUUAUAAAAAAUUCCACUGAAUUGUUGUUACUUAUUUUGAAUUUUAUCGACAUCAAAUUUGAGGCUAUGGUUUGCCCUUGUGUUGUAUAAGUAUUUCAAUGUUGCCCCUUGUCCCACAAAGCUUGGAAUAUUUGGUGUUUGGCUUUGUAUUGGAAAAGCUGGCUGACCACUGCUCCAAGGUGUUAACUCAAUAACAAUAUUGCUGUUAUUACCAUUCUACACUGUGACAGACUGGGAAAUUUAAAACUAUAGACAUGUUUUGGGCACACUUGUCUGAUUAA